AUGUCUUUCUACGGAAUCGCAGGCCUAUUCAUUAGCUCCUACUUGUGGUGUACUAUUUUGUGGAAUGUAGGUAGUGGUUAUGACCGAUUCGAUAGAAAAGAGGGAAUAGUGUGCAUUUUUCGUUGGGGAUUCCCUGGAAUAAAACGUCGCGUCUUCCUUCGAUUCCUUAUGCGGGAUAUCCAAUCAAUUAGAAUUCAGGUUAAAGAGGGUCUUUAUCCUCGUCGUAUUCUUUAUAUGGAAAUCCGGGGCCAGGGGAUCAUUCCCUUGACUCGUACUGAUGAUCAAUUUUUUACUCCACGAGAAAUUGAACAAAAAGCUACCGAAUUGGCCUAUUUCUUGCGUGAAGUAUUUUGA
rnacentral:rRNA from 1 species